rnacentral:rRNA from 1 species
GACGAACGCUGGCGGCGUGCUUAACACAUGCAAGUCGAACGGAAAGGCCCUGCUUGCAGGGUACUCGAGUGGCGAACGGGUGAGUAACACGUGUGGGAUCUGCCCUGCACUUCGGGAUAUGCCUGGGAAACUGUGUCUAUUACCGGAGAGGAGCCAUUUUUAGUGUGAUGGUUGGAAAGUUUUUUGGGUGUGGGAUGAGCUCGCGGCCUUUCAGCUUGUUGGUGGGGUUAUGGCCUACCAAGGCGGCGACGGGUAGCCGGCCUGGGAGGGUGGACGGCCACAUUGGGACUGAGAUACGGCCAAGACUCCUCCGGGAGGCAGCGGUGGGGAAUGUUGAACAAUGGGCGCAGGCCUGAUGCCGCGAGGCCGCGUGGGGGAGGACGGCCUUCGGGUUGAAACCUCCUUCCGCUAGGGACGAAGCUUUUUGUGACGGUACCUAGAGAAGAAGCACCGGCUAACUACGUG